AUUGAACGCUGGCGGCAUGCUUUACACAUGCAAGUCGAACGGUAACAGGGUGCUUGCACCGCUGACGAGUGGCGAACGGGUGAGUAAUGCGUCGGAACGUGCCGAGUAGUGGGGGAUAACACAGCGAAAGUUGUGCUAAUACCGCAUACGUACUGAGGUAGAAAGUGGGGGACCUUCGGGCCUCACGCUAUUCGAGCGGCCGACGUCUGAUUAGCUAGUAGGUGAGGUAAAGGCUCACCUAGGCGACGAUCAGUAGCGGGUCUGAGAGGAUGAUCCGCCACACUGGGACGGAGACACGGCCCAGACUCCUACGGGAGGCAGCAGUGGGGAAUUUUGGACAAUGGGCGAAAGCCUGAUCCAGCCAUGCCGCGUGUCUGAAGAAGGCCUUCGGGUUGUAAAGGACUUUUGUCAGGGAGGAAAUCCCUAGUGCUAAUAACACUGGGGGAUGACAGUACCUGAAGAAUAAGCACCGGCUAACUACGUGCCAGCCGCCGCGGUAACAC
rnacentral:rRNA from 1 species